rnacentral:rRNA from 1 species
AGUGAACGCUGGCGGCAGGCCUAACACAUGCAAGUCGAACGGCAGCACAGUAAGAGCUUGCUCUUAUGGGUGGCGAGUGGCGGACGGGUGAGGAAUACAUCGGAAUCUACUCUUUCGUGGGGGAUAACGUAGGGAAACUUACGCUAAUACCGCAUACGACCUACGGGUGAAAGCGGAGGACCUUCGGGCUUCGCGCGAUUGAAUGAGCCGAUGUCGGAUUAGCUAGUUGGCGGGGGAAAGGCCCACCCAGGCGACCGUCCCUAGCUGGUCUGAGAGGAUGAUCAGCCACACGGGAACUGAGACACGGUCCAGACUCCGACGGGAGGCAGCAGUGGGGAAUAUUGGACAAUGGGCGCAAGCCUGAUCCAGCCAUGCCGCGUGGGUGAAGAAGGCCUUCGGGUUGUAAAGCCCUUUUGUUGGGAAAGAAAAGCAGUCGGUUAAUACCCGAUUGUUCUGACGGUACCCAAAGAAUAAGCACCGGCUAACUUCGUGCCAGCAGCCGCCGUAACAC